rnacentral:lncRNA from 1 species
UUUUUUUUUUUUUUUUAAACUCAUCCACUCUGAAGGCUGCAUUGGUUUCCAGCUGUCUACUUUAAGAAGUCAAGACCCCUCUGACUGACUUUCAAGACCCCAACUUCCCUAUGCUAUUUUCUUUUAUUCCUUAAUACCAUAUUCUUUAGUCAAGGAGCUUAUGCAUUCUUCCAAGAACACCUAUGCCAUUAUAUGCUGUCUGCUCUGUUGACCCAAUAUGAAGUGCUCUUUUGCCCCUCUUUUGCCUCUCUGAAUUCCCAUCUUCAAACAUUCCAGGUACACUUCAGAAGUCCCUCCUCCUCCUGUUCACACUAACCCACACUAGUUUGUUUCUUUGAGUCCUUCAUAAAUGUAUAGUCAGGUCCAUGUGGAGACACAGGAUUUGGAGGCAGUGGGCCUGGGAUUGAAUCAUGGCUGUAUAUUAGUCUCAAGUGGAUCAAGCAUUGCAAUGAGUGUUUACAGUGUGAUUGAUAGAGUUCAUAGGGAUCACAUGUCAAUGAACUAAUUUUGUCUCCUCAGCAACUUUUUAAGCUAGGUGCUAUUUUGAUUCCCAUUUUACAGUGAGUAAACUGAGGCACAGAGCGGUUGCAUAAUCUCUGUCUGAGGUCACAUAGCUAGUAAGGGGCAAAGCUAGGAAGUCAAAUUCUCCUCCUCUUCUAGCCUUUAUGUUAGUCUUGCCUCUUUACGAUAUAUUUGAAAUGAUUUUUAUGGUGAUUUUUAGAAUUGAUUGAUAUGCAGUAUUACUUCCUCCUGUCUCACUGGGGAAGUCUUUAGAAAAAAACACACAACUCCUUUAUCCGUAAGUGCUUUUGGAGUUAAUGUUUCUACAUGCCUUUGUGUGUGCAUGUGUGUGUGUGUGUGCAUGCACACAUGUGUUGCUGUGUUAGUAGGCUGAGAUGGUGGUCAUCAGGACAGGCACGAGAUGACCACUGGUAGUUCAGGGAUGUGCAUUCCUAUCAAGCUUACAUUUAUUUCCUACUCCCAAGCCCAUAAAUUGUAAUAUGGAAAUAAUAUGUACAGAAAGAUGAAUAUUAUAAACACAGUUUUACCGCUUGUUAACUGCAUAGCCUUGAGAAAGCCACCUUCUCUGAAUUUUAAUUUCCUUGGCUCUAAACAGUGAUACUAAAUUUCACAUUACAUAAUUCUAAAUGAGGUAAUAAAAUGAAGUAAUUAAAUGAGUAAAUGAAUAUAAAGUGAAUUCAGGUAUCCAAUUUUCAGAGGUAUCCA